CAACGCGUAUGGACUUUAUCAACAUCAAGGAGAUGAACACAUUGUUCAUUUAGUAUGGGUAUAAUGACUACAAAACUAUGUAUCGGCUGAAACCCAAAUAUUCUUAUUUGGAAACUAUGUUGAUGCAAAUAUAGAAGGACAAGGAUAUCAAGGACAUGAUGGCUACAUUGUUGGAGUCUAAGAAAGUCAAUGAUUUUGGUGAUUACAAAAUGCAUAUUUAAUUUGAACAUCUAGUAUUGGAUGUUGA
rnacentral:lncRNA from 1 species